UACGAAGGGGGCUAGCGUUGUUCGGAAUUACUGGGCGUAAAGCGCGCGUAGGCGGUGAUCUUUGUCAGAGGUGAAAGCCCGGGGCUCAACUCCGGAAUUGCCUUUGAAACGGGAUCGCUAGAGUCCGAGAGAGGAUGGCGGAAUUCCUAGUGUAGAGGUGAAAUUCGUAGAUAUUAGGAAGAACACCGGUGGCGAAGGCGGCCAUCUGGCUCGGUACUGACGCUCAGGCGCGAAAGCGUGGGGAGCAAACAGGAUUAAGA
rnacentral:rRNA from 1 species